UACGGAGGGGGCUAGCGUUGUUCGGAAUUACUGGGCGUAAAGCGCACGUAGGCGGCUUUGUAAGUUAGAGGUGAAAGCCCGGGGCUCAACUCCGGAAUUGCCUUUAAGACUGCAUCGCUAGAAUUGUGGAGAGGUAAGUGGAAAUUCCGAGUGUAGAGGUGAAAUUCGUAGAUAUCGAGAGGAACACCGAUGGCGAAGGCACUCUGCUGGGCCGACACUGACACUGGAGAAGACGAAAGCUAGGGGAGCGAAUGGG
rnacentral:rRNA from 1 species